GAGUUUGAUCCUGGCUCAGAUUGAACGCUGGCGGCAUGCCUUACACAUGCAAGUCGAACGGCAGCACGGGAGCUUGCUCCUGGUGGGCGAGUGGCGAACGGGUGAGUAAUGCAUCGGAACGUAUCCUGGAGUGGGGGAUAACGUAGCGAAAGUUACGCUAAUACCGCAUAUUCUGUGAGCAGGAAAGCGGGGGACCUUCGGGCCUCGCGCUCUUGGAGCGGCCGAUGUCGGAUUAGCUAGUUGGUGAGGUAAAGGCUCACCAAGGCGACGAUCCGUAGCAGGUCUGAGAGGAUGAUCUGCCACACUGGAACUGAGACACGGUCCAGACUCCUACGGGAGGCAGCAGUGGGAAUUUUGGACAAUGGGGCAACCCUGAUCCAGCCAUGCCGCGUGAGUGAAGAAGGCC
rnacentral:rRNA from 1 species